CCCCGAAUUUUCCUCAAUAUGAUUUUAGAAGAAUGAUUGGGUUUAGAAUUAAGUCGAUUUGCACCCCGGAGAAAAAUAUGCUACUUCCAACAAAGAAUGUAUUGAAAGCCCUAAAGCAAAAUGUUUUCCAAUUUUAUGAUUUACUACUUUUUAAUAAAAGUCAGAUUUAAUACAGAUUCGAUUAAUUUCAAUGGGGCUUAAUUAUAUAGAUUGCUUUAUUUUGGUUUUAAAUUCUCGCAUGCAUCUAUUAGAAGCCCAACCCUUAAUUUCAUAAGCCCAAUUACUGUUGCAGAUAUUUUUAUUUAUUAUAUUUAAUUAUUAUUGGAAGGGGAUUCAUCCACGCUGCCAUUUUUCUCCAAUAAAACCCCCUCCAUGUAUAAUCCAUCAGCCAACUCUCACCAAGCAUCAGCCACCGGUGGAGCUCUUCUCUAUCUCCAUCAGUUUACAAGAAGAAAUUUCCAUCAUAUUCUUAUCUAAUCAUCCACAGACAACAACCCACAAAAUCAACCAUCAUCAAGAAAUCGAAACCACAGUUCAUUAUAUUCUUAUUGCCACUCAAUCACAUCUCUUUGAAGAAGAAGCUUUUUGUGUGUGUGUUUGUCGUUUAGACAAGAGAAGAGAAGAGGGGGAUGGCUGCAGAACGAAGCCGCCGGCGCUGCGCGCCACGGCGGCCGACGGAGGAAGAAAAGGGGGCAGCGGUGCGGUGGUCUUUGCCGCUGCUAUGUUGGUCCGGUCGGACGGAGGGAGAAGGCGCCUGGGCAGCCGCUGUCGACGCGGGGGCGGCGACGGAGGUGCUGCUGUCGGCCAGGAGAGAGAAGGGAGGUGAGGGCGACGCUGGACAGGAGUAGGUGGCGGCAGGGGUCGCCGGAGAAGGGGGCACGGCCGCGGCUUGGCGGCUGCAGGGGGAGAUCGAGGGAGAAAGGCAGAGAGGGAGAGGGAGAAAGAGGGGUUACGUGGUGUGUGUGUGAGGCGUUUAAAUGAGGGCAAGAGAGAAGAGUGGGCUUGGGCCCUUAGCUUAUUUUUUUUACUCAAUGGACUCGAGGUAUAUUUUUAGUUGGGCUCAUAGUUUGGGCCGUUUUUUUUUAAAAAUGGGCUACAUUUUUAUAACUUGGGCUAUUAAUUAUAUUUUUGGGCUGCAUUUUUGUAUGAAGAAGGCCUCUUAUUAAAUUACUUUGGGCCAUGAAUUUAUUUAUUUGUGAAUCGAGUUUUUAAGUAAAAGCCGAGCAAGGAUAUUAUUGAAAUCCUUAGCCAAGAAAAAUGAUUUUUUUUAAGUUUUAUGUUGAAUUUUUGAAAACCCGGGUGUUGCGAAUCUAGUUAGAAAUGAUGACAAGUCAUGAAGGUUAAGUUUGAUUUUAGGACUAUGAGUUUAAGUUGAUAACUUAUCUUGUAGGUCUUACAGAAGAGGAUAUUUAGGCUCUUGUUCAAGCUGAGUUAUAUUGUUUGGAUUUUCUCCAAAUCAGAUAGAGCAACUGGUAGUGACGUGCGAGGCUGAGGAAGGGUUGUUGCUGUGGAUUCUGAAGAAAUACUGCGUUUACUUCUGCUAGAAUAAAUUCACUUAGUGAAUAUUAUCUGAUGCCUAACUAUAUUAAUACUUUUAUUCAUAUUUCUAAUAUGAAUUUCAUUCUCCAUCACUUUUCUAGCGAUUGUUUUCCGCAUCUAUUAUAUGCUUAGUAUGAGACGUUGUCUUGGUCUCAGACCUUCGAACUUCCGAUCCUGAUAGGGAGAAUAAUUAUGUUAUAAUGUCGUACUUGCUCUCAUUUAAAUACGGCAUAAUGCCAACCCUCAGGGCGCAUUACAUAUUUUAUUCAAGUAAAGCUUAGUAAUCCUGUCACAUAGCCCAUUUCUUUUUCUCCCGGGAAAUCGGGGCUGUCACAAAUGGUAUCAGAGCAAAAGUUCUUGGCUCUGAGACCGCUAUUUCAUUGAUGUUGAGUCUAGAAUAGCAUCUCUAGACUUUUAAGCUACACAGCAACCCUCAGCUCGCUUUCACACCGCUCUCAAUAAAGAAAGGUACGCGAUUUUAACAAAUGUUACUUAAAGUGCGUACAAGUAUUUAAAGUGGUUUUAAAAGCAAGAAUUCUUGUUAAAAGAAAGUAUUUCAGUUGUUGUAUUAUUUUACAACUAGAUUCCCAGAAAAAUGUUAUUUCGAGUUUUAGCUUGAAUAACUAGAAAAGUUUGUCAUGUUUUUAUGAACAGAAAGAUUUGUCAUAUGUAUUUAUAUGACCAGAAAGUUUGUCAUGACCAGAAAAAUUUGUCAUUUAUAUGACCAGAAAGAUUAUCAUGACCAGAAAGAUUUGUCAUAUUCAUGACCAGAAAGUUGUCAUAUUUUUAUGACCAGUAUUUGAGCUUUGACUCCAGAAUCAGUUAUAUGUUACAGGCAGAACAGUCAGUGAAAUUGUCAUAAUGAUUUUACGUCUUUAUGACCAGCAGCUAUUAAUAGGCAGACCUAGUUUUUGCCUCAAUUAUGAGUUCAUAAAGGUGUUAUUUUCUCGUAGCUAGAGAAAUACACUAGAUAGUAGCACGAGAAUCUUAUGAGAUAGACUGCUAGCAUGAAGUGCUAUAGAAGAAUCAAGAAAAACUUAGAGUGCUCAACGGAAGCACGUAAACUUAGAAUGCUUGAAUAGAAAGAUAGAACGAAGGCAGAUAGAACAUGGAAAGACAUCACACGAAGAGAUAGAACAUAGAAGUACAGAAUUUAGAAAGAUAGAUCACAAAAGACAAAGAGAAUAGAAGAAGAAGACAUAGAAGGAUGAGCUGAAGACAAACAAAACGACGAGUGAAUUGUUCCACGCAAUCUACAAGUAUGGAAGACUUAAGGACUUCACAAAGAACGUUUGACAUGUGCUAUCUUUCAACUAACGGACGAGGCCGAUUGUUGGUAGGAAUCAAUGCAGAGGACUUUAGCGCCACAACAAUGGGAAGGGUAUACGUGGGAGAAUUUCAAGGAAAAGUUGUACGAGAAGUAUAUUCCUCAGAGUUAUCGAAUCAAGAAAUAAUCGGAAUUCUGGAAUCUUCAACAAGAGAAUAAAUCUGUCACCGAGUACGAUAGACUGUUCGUCCAAUUAUCACGCUACGCUCCACACUUGGUGGAUACUGAAGAGAAAAGAACUGAAAAGUUCAGGCGAGGACUACGACACGAGAUAGGAAUGCCUUUGGUUAGCCAAGGGAUACUAACCUAUGCUCAAUCUUUGAGCAGAGCACGAGAUAUUGAAGUUAUGAUGAAAGCACCUAUUCAAGCCUCUGACAAUAAGCGUGUGAACAACAAACGAAAAAGAGCAUGUCAAAGAACAAAUCAGCAAAUGCAGCAAGACCAACAAAAAGAGCGAAACGACCAGCAACAAGUACCGUCUUGCCACAAAAAUCACUUCGGAGUUUGCAAAGCUGGGAGUGACGCUUGCUACAAGUGUGGAGAAAACGAUCAUUUUGCUCGACAAUGCCCAGGAACACCACAAGGACGUCAGGAUAAUGGAAGAAAUCGAGGCCAAAGGCCACUUCAAAUAGCAAGAGCAUACGCACUUAAUCAACAGCAAGAAGCUCAGGCACCAGAAGAUGUAGAAGGUACGACUAUAUAGAAUGGACGUACUAGAAUAAGAUAAGUUUGUAGUCAUAGAAAGUAUUUAUCCUUUGGGAUAAUAGUCAGAAUUAGAAAAACAAGCAUAUAGUUCUAGUAGAAUCACUAUGAAGCAGAAUGAGUAUAUGAUAGCUAUAAGCUGAGAAUGACACUUAGAAGUUCGAAAUUUCGAGGACGAAAUUUUUUUAAGGAGGGAGGGUUGUAAUACCCCGAAUUUUCCUCAAUAUGAUUUUAGAAGAAUGAUUGGGUUUAGAAUUAAGUCGAUUUGCACCCCGGAGAAAAAUAUGCUACUUCCAACAAAGAAUGUAUUGAAAGCCCUAAAGCAAAAUGUUUUCCAAUUUUAUGAUUUACUACUUUUUAAUAAAAGUCAGAUUUAAUACAGAUUCGAUUAAUUUCAAUGGGGCUUAAUUAUAUAGAUUGCUUUAUUUUGGUUUUAAAUUCUCGCAUGCAUCUAUUAGAAGCCCAACCCUUAAUUUCAUAAGCCCAAUUACUGUUGCAGAUAUUUUUAUUUAUUAUAUUUAAUUAUUAUUGGAAGGGGAUUCAUCCACGCUGCCAUUUUUCUCCAAUAAAACCCCCUCCAUGUAUAAUCCAUCAGCCAACUCUCACCAAGCAUCAGCCACCGGUGGAGCUCUUCUCUAUCUCCAUCAGUUUACAAGAAGAAAUUUCCAUCAUAUUCUUAUCUAAUCAUCCACAGACAACAACCCACAAAAUCAACCAUCAUCAAGAAAUCGAAACCACAGUUCAUUAUAUUCUUAUUGCCACUCAAUCACAUCUCUUUGAAGAAGAAGCUUUUUGUGUGUGUGUUUGUCGUUUAGACAAGAGAAGAGAAGAGGGGGAUGGCUGCAGAACGAAGCCGCCGGCGCUGCGCGCCACGGCGGCCGACGGAGGAAGAAAAGGGGGCAGCGGUGCGGUGGUCUUUGCCGCUGCUAUGUUGGUCCGGUCGGACGGAGGGAGAAGGCGCCUGGGCAGCCGCUGUCGACGCGGGGGCGGCGACGGAGGUGCUGCUGUCGGCCAGGAGAGAGAAGGGAGGUGAGGGCGACGCUGGACAGGAGUAGGUGGCGGCAGGGGUCGCCGGAGAAGGGGGCACGGCCGCGGCUUGGCGGCUGCAGGGGGAGAUCGAGGGAGAAAGGCAGAGAGGGAGAGGGAGAAAGAGGGGUUACGUGGUGUGUGUGUGAGGCGUUUAAAUGAGGGCAAGAGAGAAGAGUGGGCUUGGGCCCUUAGCUUAUUUUUUUUACUCAAUGGACUCGAGGUAUAUUUUUAGUUGGGCUCAUAGUUUGGGCCGUUUUUUUUUAAAAAUGGGCUACAUUUUUAUAACUUGGGCUAUUAAUUAUAUUUUUGGGCUGCAUUUUUGUAUGAAGAAGGCCUCUUAUUAAAUUACUUUGGGCCAUGAAUUUAUUUAUUUGUGAAUCGAGUUUUUAAGUAAAAGCCGAGCAAGGAUAUUAUUGAAAUCCUUAGCCAAGAAAAAUGAUUUUUUUUAAGUUUUAUGUUGAAUUUUUGAAAACCCGGGUGUUGCGAAUCUAGUUAGAAAUGAUGACAAGUCAUGAAGGUUAAGUUUGAUUUUAGGACUAUGAGUUUAAGUUGAUAACUUAUCUUGUAGGUCUUACAGAAGAGGAUAUUUAGGCUCUUGUUCAAGCUGAGUUAUAUUGUUUGGAUUUUCUCCAAAUCAGGUGAGGCUUUAUUUACGAAAUGUAUGUUUGAGCUAAUAAGCUCUGUUUUAUGAAAUGUUAAAGUUGAUGGUUCAUGCUUAAAAUGUUUUUGCUCUCUAUUGGUUAUUGCUUCUACCAGAACAUUGUUGGCUCCGCCAACCAGAACAUUGUUAGCUCUGCUAACCAGAAUUGUGUACGUACACCAGAACCUGUUGUCUCGAGAGAUCGGUGACAACCAGUUGUAGAUAGCAUGCCCAAUAGAUGGCCAGGAAAAUAUGAGCUCAGAUUAUUUUAGUAUGCAUGGAAUGACUCACUUUAAAAACAUUCUGUGUUAUACUGUUUAAGGCAUGAAUUAUCUUUUUCAGUAAAUGAUUUUUAUAAAAUAUUUUUUUUUAAAUGGCUCAACCCACUGAGUACACUAGUACUCAGCCCUGCAAUUGUUUUCAAAACCUUUUGCAGAUAGAGCAACUGGUAGUGACGUGCGAGGCUGAGGAAGGGUUGUUGCUGUGGAUUCUGAAGAAAUACUGCGUUUACUUCUGCUAGAAUAAAUUCACUUAGUGAAUAUUAUCUGAUGCCUAACUAUAUUAAUACUUUUAUUCAUAUUUCUAAUAUGAAUUUCAUUCUCCAUCACUUUUCUAGCGAUUGUUUUCCGCAUCUAUUAUAUGCUUAGUAUGAGACGUUGUCUUGGUCUCAGACCUUCGAACUUCCGAUCCUGAUAGGGAGAAUAAUUAUGUUAUAAUGUCGUACUUGCUCUCAUUUAAAUA